rnacentral:rRNA from 1 species
ACGAACGCUGGCGGCGUGCCUAAUACAUGCAAGUAGGACGCAUAGUUUAUACCGUAGCUUGCUACACCAUAGACUGUGAGUUGCGAACGGGUGAGUAACGCGUAGGUAACCUGCCUAUUAGAGGGGGAUAACUAUUGGAAACGAUAGCUAAUACCGCAUAACAGUAUGUAACACAUGUUAGAUGCUUGAAAGAUGCAAUUGCAUCGCUAGUAGAUGGACCUGCGUUGUAUUAGCUAGUAGGUAGGGUAAAGGCCUACCUAGGCAACGAUACAUAGCCGACCUGAGAGGGUGAUCGGCCACACUGGGACUGAGACACGGCCCAGACUCCUACGGGAGGCAGCAGUAGGGAAUCUUCGGCAAUGGGGGGAACCCUGACCGAGCAACGCCGCGUGAGUGAAUAAGGUUUUCGGAUCGUAAAGCUCUGUUGUUAAGGAAGAACGAGUGUGAGAAUGGAAAGUUCAUACUGUGACGGUACUUAACCAGAAAGGGACGGCUAACUACGUGCCAGCAGCCGCGGUAAUACGUAGGUCCCGAGCGUUGUCCGGAUUUAUUGGGCGUAAAGCGAGCGCAGGCGGUUAGAAAAGUCUGAAGUGAAAGGCAGUGGCUCAACCAUUGUAGGCUUUGGAAACUGUUUAACUUGAGUGCAGAAGGGGAGAGUGGAAUUCCAUGUGUAGCGGUGAAAUGCGUAGAUAUAUGGAGGAACACCGGUGGCGAAAGCGGCUCUCUGUUCUGUAUGUGACGCUGAGGGUCGAAACGUGGUGAGUGAACUUA